GAUGAAGAACGCAGCGAAAUGCGAUAAGUAGUGUGAAUUGCAGAAUUCAGUGAAUCAUCGAAUCUUUGAACGCACAUUGCGCCCUUUGGUAUUCCUUAGGGCAUGCCUGUUCGAGCGUCAUUUGAAACCUCAAGCUCAGCUUGGUGUUGGGUGUCUGUCCCCGCCUCACCGCGGGGACUCGCCUCAAAAUCAUUGGCGGCCGGUACGUUGGCCUCGAGCGCAGCAGAAACGCGAACUCGAGGCCCGGCGGAUCGGCGACCAGAAGUCACUUCUUCACAGUUUGACCUCGGAUCAGGUAGGGAUACCCGCUGAACUUAAGCAUAUCAAUAAGCGGAGGA
rnacentral:misc_RNA from 1 species